UAAAAAACAUGAGAGGUUUCCAUAAACCCCGCUCCCCACCAGGGGGAUUCUUUUCCGUUGCAUCUUGAAUGUGCUGACCCCUGUGAUUUCCCCAAAUGUGGGAAACUGUACUGCAUAAUUUGUGGUAGUGGGGGCCUGUGUUUGCACUCUCCCUGA
rnacentral:snRNA from 1 species